UGCGAUUAAUCGUAUUUCUCUCGUAUAUAAAUGAGCAAACAUUUUUUUUUCAAUAUUUAUAUUUUUUUUGGAUAUAUAUUUAGAAUAUAUAUUAAAUUAUAUCUUUUAUAAUUAUUUCCUUUUAUUUUGAAGUUAAAAGUAAUAUUCAAAAUGUCGCGCCAACAAUUACUAAUGUGUUUUGAUUGGUUCCCAAAUUUAUGCAUUAUUCAUAAGUUGGCAGCACUGAUUAGAAUAGAAACAAAAUGGCUGCCUUUCACCAGUGUCAUCAAAAUGUCGCUAAAAUUUUUCAGAUAAUCUGUAUAUUAGACAGUAUAUCUUGUUAAAUAUUUGAUUCAUUAGGUUUACAUACGACUUUUGAGUCUCUAGAAAUAAAAAGUUUAAGUAUAUUUCGCAAGCUGUGGCAAAAAUAAGGUAUUUUUCAUUGACGCUACCCGGAGCUCCUGAUUUGCAGGAAUCAAAAAAUAACUUAUUUUUUGUAAGAUGUGGCAAAAAUAAGGUAUUUUCCAUUGACGCUACCCGGAGCUCCUGAUUUACAGGAAUGAAAAGAUGAAUUAUUUUUCGCAAGAUGUGGUAAAAAUAAGUGUUUUCCUCAACUCCUGAUUUACAGAUUCAACAUCGAUAGCUUGUGGUGUGUCGUUCUUCAAAAAUAAGGUCAAACGUAAAAAAGGGUAUCUUAUCUUCGAAGGAUUCACAGAAUUCUGCAUAUUAAUCCUAAUCCAGGAGAGAAAAAUUCGUUUGGUUAAAGAAAGUAUAUGCCAUCAUGGAAUUUCUGCAACACAUCGCGGGAUUCAGCAAAAUUUGUCUUCAUAAUAUACCAACUUGAUGGACAGAAAGGAUAUGGAAGAAGAAGAAAAGCAGUGUUACACACAGAAGUGCAAGCAAGGAGUAGAAAUCUUCGGGAGUGGUCCACGAGGCAGGAGGAGGAGGAUUGCAAUCAUUGAUUCAU